GUGAAAAGAACAGACCUAGACUGUGAAUCAUGGCCUGGACUUCUCUUCUGAUCACACUCCUGGCUCACUGCACAGGAGCCAUGUCCCAGGCUGUUGUGACUCAGGAAUCUUCACUCACCACAUCUCCUGGAGGGACAGUCACACUCACCUGUGGUUCAAGUACUGGGGCUGUUACCACCAGUGUUCCUACUCGAUUCUCAGGCUCCCUGCUUGGAAACAAGGCUGCCCUCACCAUCACAGGGGCCCAGCCUGAGGAUGAGGCUGUGUAUUACUGUGCUCUGUGGUUCAGCAACCAUUUCCACAAUGGCACAUGCAGAUGGGGAAGUAGAACACAAAUCCUCUGGUACAGCCUCAUAACUGUCUUCCUAUCACGUGGCUACAUGUCCCUAAGCCCAGAGUGUCUGUUCAGUAACUGUAGAGAACUUCAUAGAAGCUACUGA